AGCCCCCACCGGCAGAGAUAUGGUGGACUUGGACCUGGCACAGCAGUGGCGCAGGGAAAUGAAUGUCCGUUUGACGGCGGAGACUCGUGUCACUACCUUCGGAUGCAGAUCAGAUAUGCCUAAUGAACUGAUUUGACACGUUU
rfam:Marine metagenome ctg_1101668644630, whole genome shotgun sequence.